rnacentral:rRNA from 1 species
CACGGGGGGAGCAAGCGUUGUUCGGAAUCAUUGGGCGUAAAGCGCGCGUAGGCGGCCCGGUAAGUCCGCUCUGAAAGUCCAGGGCUCAACCCUGGAAAGCGGGUGGAUACUGCCGGGCUAGAAUCCGGAAGAGGCGAGUGGAAUUCCUGGUGUAGCGGUGGAAAUGCGCAGAUAUCAGGAGGAACACCGGUGGCGAAGGCGGUUCUCUGGGAAUGUCCUGACGCUGAGGAGCGAAAGUGUGGGGAGCGAACAGG